rnacentral:rRNA from 1 species
GUGAGGAAUAUUGGUCAAUGGGCGAGAGCCUGAACCAGCCAAGUCGCGUGAAGGAUGAAGGUUUUAUGAAUUGUAAACUUCUUUUGCAGGGGAAUAAAGUACGGUACGUGUACCGUUUUGUAUGUACUCUGCGAAUAAGGAUCGGCUAACUCCGUGCCAGCAGCCGCGGUAAUACGGAGGAUCCAAGCGUUAUCCGGAUUUAUUGGGUUUAAAGGGUGCGUAGGCGGCUGAUUAAGUCAGCGGUGAAAGUUUGCAGCUUAACUGUAAAAAUGCCGUUGAAACUGUCGGACUUGAGUGUAAAUGAGGUAGGCGGAAUGCGUGGUGUAGCGGUGAAAUGCAUAGAUAUCACGCAGAACUCCGAUUGCGAAGGCAGCUUACUAAGCUACAACUGACACUGAAGCACGAAAGCGUGGGGAUCAAACAGGAUUAGAUACCCUUGUAGUCC